rnacentral:lncRNA from 1 species
CCUUUCUGCUUUGUCAUCCGGAUCCAGUUCCACGCUUCACCUUUGGUUUUGAAGACUGGGAGACUUAAAGGAAUCUUUGACUUUGGGUACUCUCUACAGACUUGGCUCAUAGUCAGCUUCAGGCUCCUCCUGUGUAUAGUACCUCUGAGCACAAUACAUUGUCCCUUUUAGUUUCAGCUCCCAAGAGCCAAACUUGCCAUUAGCAUCCAGGCAGGGCCCACUUGGUUCCUCACUGAGGAGUGUUAGGCAACUACGGAGCUGGUAGGUUUGUCUUUUUGUUCCAGGUACAGAGUUGUUUAUCUGUCUAGAAAAGGCCAGGCAUUGGUCUUUUUGACGUGAAAAAAGUUCAAGCCAGAAAACGGGCAAGCUGCUGUGAGCAUGUAACAUCUGUGAUGUCACAAACGUCUGUUUACAGACAGAGAAUGUGGACUCAUUUUCUAAGCCCUUGAAGUGUCUAGGACAGCAGGCUGCAUGGCAAAGCAGGGAGAUACAUCUGCUGAAUUGAAUUCAGUAUACUCAAAAUUCAGAUAUUCCAUUUUGCCAAGAGAUGGCGGAUGUGAGCAUAUCUCUUCAGUUCAGACCAUAUUUACAUCGUUUAGCUAUGACAUGGGCCUGGAGUUUUCUCUGCUCAAUUCAGGCAUAACAAUCAGCUAGAUUGAAACUCAUUGUUUGCAUGCCAUUCAGAGAGGAUAAGUAGUUAAGAAGACCCUACACUGACAUCUGUCAAGGGUAUGCCAUUUCACCAUGUGACACAUAGAGUAAGCCCAUGGCAGUUUGAAAGGCAGAUGCAAUGUUCUCUGCUCUGCGAUCCCUGCUGUCAAGAGUCUGCUGUAAGUGAUUUUCAGACCAUCAGCCUCAGCAUCUCCUGGGAACAUGCCAUAAAUGAGUUCUGAGGUCCUGCUCCAGAUCUGGGAUAAGAAAUCUGAAGUACAAUGAGGUUGAGAGACUUGCUCAAGUCCACACAUGCGUUAUGUGAUAGAGGCAGGAUUUGAAUCCAGGCAGUCUGUCUGCAGAGGCCCCAUUCAACAUCAUAGCCACGUGUUGUAUAGGGCAUUUUGAUGAGUGAAAAAGAGAAGAUGCUAUUUUGCUGCACUUAUUCACAUACACCGUGCAUCGCCAGCUUCCAGCACUGGAAAACUGCAGGCUCUUCCUCAAACCCACUACAGCAUAAUCCCCUGAUAGGCGUGGAACAGAGCUAAAAAUUUGUCAAUCUGAAAGGUAUAUUUUUAAAAAAUCAUG